ACAAAGGCUCUUUUCAGAGCCACCCACUUUAACAGUAAAAAGUGCU
rfam:Mesocricetus auratus contig023772, whole genome shotgun sequence.